UAGCUCAGUUGGUAGAGCAUGGUGUUUGCAAUGCCAGGGUUGUGGGUUCGAUUCUCAC
rfam:Salmo salar isolate Sally breed double haploid chromosome ssa01, whole genome shotgun sequence.